CUCAAAAUUCGUUGCCCCAAUAGGUUACAUAUUCAAAAAUAUCGGAAAAUUGAGUGGGGAAGAUACCAGAUUUUUUUAAAGAAGAUGCUUUAGCGUACAAAAUUAAAAUUUAAUUAAUUAAUUAUGUUGCUAGUUUAUAUAAUUAACAUUUUUGUGGUAAAAUUUAAAAAUUCUUACACUUGUGCACGGAUCUCGGGCCAUACAUAUCGUCAUGGCAGGCCAUAGUUUGCCCAUCACUGGACUAGUUGAUUUUUUAUUUGAUAUAUUCAUCUAUCAGUUGUUUUUUCAGACAUUAAAGAUUAUUAGUUUUCUCUAAUGCAAUGGCAGUGAGAGGAGUAUAAAAUUAGGUGAAGGUUACUUAAACUGCAAACAAACUAUAUCAUUUUAGCUUCCAAGAUAAAAAAACAAAAAGCAUUUUAUGUAACUUCUAUAUAGAAUGAUUAAGAAAUACUUGCUCAGAUUUUCAAGAUAGAUGUACUGAAACAUGAUAAUGAAACAAAUUUCUAUGAACAUAAAUCCUUAAAUGCUUUAUUUCAGCAAUAGACUCUAUAACAAGAUAUCAGAGCAAGUGUUUGAAAUGCCUCCCACUGAAUGCAAUACAACUUUCACAACACUGUACCAUGGGCUGCUGAACAUACUGAAAAAUGCCAAGGCUGUAACAAAUGUCAUCACAUCCAUAUCAUCAUUGUGGGUACCUCUCUCUGUACAGAUGCUGAACUGCACUGCUGCUUCCAUUUAUGUGUCCAUGUGUGUAAUGGAUAUCAGCCACUUGGCAUUAGUGUAACAAUGCUUGUUGCUUUGCAUCUUAAUUGUUAACAACAUUGUGAAGUGUCAAUCAGAUGUCAACUGAGCAGUAUAUGAAAUGCAAUUAAUGCCUCUCUACCCUACCUACUAUGGGAUCAAUC
rnacentral:lncRNA from 1 species